rnacentral:rRNA from 1 species
UACAGAGGGUGCAGGCGUUGUUCGGAAUUAUUGGGCGUAAAGGGAGUGUAGGCGGUUCGUUAAGUCUUCUGUGAAAUCUACGGGCUUAGCCUGUAACGUGCAGAGGAAACUAGCGGGCUUGAGUGUCGGAGAGGAUAGGGGAAUUCCCGGUGUAGAGGUGAAAUUCGUAGAGAUCGGGAGGAACACCAGUGGCGAAGGCGCCUAUCUGGCUGACAACUGACGCUGAGGAGCGAAAGUGUGGGGAGCGAACAGG